rnacentral:rRNA from 1 species
UGGGCUCGAAGCGCAGUGGAAUCCGGUGGAAACAUCGGCGCCCGCAAGGGCCGCUGCGGAGGUGCUGCAUGGCUGUCGUCAGCUCGUGUCGUGAGAAUGUUGGGUUAAGUCCCGCAACGAGCGCAACCCUUAUCGUUAGUUGCCACCGGGUCAAGCCGGGCACUCUAGCGAAACCGCCUCGGAUAACGGGGAGGAAGGUGGGGAUGACGUCAAGUCCUCAUGGCCUUUAUGUCCAGGGCUACACACGUGCUACAAUGGUCGGUACAAACCGUCGCAAACCCGCGAGGGGGAGCUAAUCGGAAAAAGCCGGCCUCAGUUCGGAUUGGAGUCUGCAACUCGACUGCAUGAAGUCGGAAUCGCUAGUAAUCGCGGAUCAGCAUGUCGCGGUGAAUACGUUCCC